AUGUCCCGAGGGGUUUUCGCCGCUCACCUGGACGUAAAAAGGGGGCAGAAAAGAAGCGUUGCCGGGGCCGCGAUGUUGUCGGGCAACCGGGAGGAGACUCUCCAGGAAGUCGCCGCACAUCACCCACUGGAAGAUGAAAUCACAGCACAACAACUAGAGCUGUCGAGGGUGAUCUCUGCAUUUUCAUCCAACGACAAGAUGAGCAGCAGAAACAUGACCCGGCUUAACAAGCCACCAGAACUGACAGAUCGCACUCGGGGGGAACGCUUCUGUCAAAAUGGAUCCCAAAGGCAACAAGUAUGUGAAAAAGGUCGCCGCGUGCUAAAUGUGGCAAGUAACUGUUCAUCUGUUGUGGUUUUAUGUGUGAAGAGCAGAUCAGUUGUUAUUGGGGUGUUUUCUUUGUGUGUGUGUGUGUGUGUGUGUGUGUGUGUGUGUGUGUGUGUGUGUGUAGUGCGUGUGUGUGUGUGUGUGUAGUGCCUUUACUCAAGUACUUGAGAACAGUUGUAGUUACAUACCAGUGCCUUUUCAGAUUGAUAUUUAACAUAUAAAACACAUGAUACGCUGUACAAACAAUAUAUCAAUAUAAAUCAAAACAAUCUUUUUAGCUUGUGACCAUUCAGAUUUGUCCCUUUAAAGGGGCCCGACCCUGAGGUUGGAAAACAGUGGACACUUUGUUCAGCCAAUGUACAACUUUAAAAAAAAAAAAAGGCUACUGACUCAUCGAUGCAUCAGUAUAAUAUAAAUAUAAACAUAUAUAUUAAGUACAAAUUUAAUCUAAUGCUGUAUAUUACACAAUUUUAUGUAGAGUUUUAUUUAGUGUAAAUUCUGUUGCUUAAACUUCGGCACUUUUACUUCGGUAAGAUUCUCAAUGCAGGAAUUUGCUGUUUUAAGUAACUGCAACUGAGAUUUAAAAAAAAAAAACACCUUCUAAAGUGCAGAUUGAAAAACACCCUCUGUGUUCUGUGUAUCCAACAGAACGCUUGGGAAACGAUGCCCACUGUCAGGCGCUGUGUAAAGGGUGACAAAACAAAUGUCAAAUGAAGUUACCGCCGCCAAAGAAGAACACUUCUCUGGUAUUUGACCUUAUCAAGAGGUCAAACAUGCUUCUUGAAGCAUUUGUAGCGAUUGCUGGUGUUCUCGCCAGCGCGCGGAUAUUUUCAUAAAAACAAAGGUCGUUUGGACAGAAUUUUUUGUUUGUUUGUUUAAAUGCAGGAGGAAAUAAGAGAUGAACUAAACACAGUGUUGACGUUACGCGUG
rnacentral:lncRNA from 1 species